rnacentral:rRNA from 1 species
AUACCGGGCCUUUUUGGGCUUGGUAAUUGGAAUGAGGGAGAGUUAAACGGACCAUCGAGUAUCCAUUGGAGGGCAAGUCUGGUGCCAGCAGCUGCGGUAAUACCAGCUCCAAUAGCGUAUAUUAAAGUUGUUGCAGUUAAAAAGCUCGUAGUUGGACUUGUGUGCGCUGUCCGCGGGUGGCCUGCGCCCAAAAGGGCGUUUCGGUUCGGCCCCGGUGGCGCCUUGAAAUCUGCAGCUGGGGGGACGUUGGCCUUAACUGGUCGGCGACCGCACGCCGGCUGCUCGGUUACUGUGAGAAAAUUAGAGUGUUCAAGGCAGGCAUUGGGUGCAAUUGAAUACAUUAGCAUGGAAUAAUAAAAUAUGGCUCCUGCCGUAUUUUGUUGGUUUUGACUGGUGGGAGUAAUGAUUGAUAGGGACGGUUGGGGGUGCUAGUAUUGAGCGGCCAGAGGUGAAAUUCAUGGAUUCGCUCAAGACUAACUUAUGCGAAAGCAUUCACCAAGGACGUCCUCUUUAAUCAAGAACGAAAGUUGGGGGAUCGAAGACGAUCAGAUACCGUCGUAGUCUCAACCAUAAACUAUGUCGACUUGGGAUCGGCGGUAGUUUUUUCAUUAAGACACUGUCGGGACCACGGGAGAAAUCAAAGUGUCUGGACUCUGGGGGAAGUAUGGUCGCAAGGCUGAAACUUGAAGGAAUUGACGGAAGGGCACCACCAGGAGUGGAGCCUGCGGCUUAAUUUGACCCAACACGGGGAAACUUACCAGGUCCAGAGAUGUAGAGGAUUGACAGAUUGAAGCUCUUUCUUGAUCACUUCGGUGGUGGUGCAUGGCCGUUCUUAGUUGGUGGAGUGAUUUGUCUGGUUAAUUCCGUUAACGAACGAGACCUCAGCCUGCUAGUGUAGUCGGCUGGAUUGCCUUUGGCGAUCCGUGAUUUCGACUUCUUAGAGGGACAAUCGACGCGCAGUCGAUGGAAGUUUGAGGCAAUAACAGGUCUGUGAUGCCCUUAGAUGCUCUGGGCCGCACGCGCGCUACACUGCUGGGCUCAGCGAGUUUUACUUGGCCGAGAGGCCCGGUUAAUCUUGUGAAAUCCCAGCGUGCUUGGGCUCGCCUCCUGCAACUGGAGGCGCCAACGAGGAAUUCCUAGUAGACGCAGGUCAUCAACCUGCAUCGAUUACGUCCCUGCCCUUUGUACACACCGCCCGUCGUUCCAUAAGAGUGAGGCAUCCGGUGAAUUCUCGGGAGAGCCUGGGCGUGGCCAGCAAUGUCUGCUCGGGUUUGAACUUGCAUAAACUUGGUGCCUAUGAUUAGGG